rnacentral:rRNA from 1 species
AUUGAACGCUGGCGGCAGGCCUAACACAUGCAAGUCGAGCGAGCGGCGGACGGGUGAGUAAUGUCUGGGAAACUGCCUGAUGGCGGGGGAUAACUACUGGAAACGGUAGCUAAUACCGCAUACCAUCAGAUGUACCCAUAUGGGAUUAGCUAGUAGGUGGGGUAAAGGCUCACCUAGGCGACGAUCCCUAGCUGGUCUGAGAGGAUGACCAGCCACACGGGGACGGAGACACGGCCCAGACUCCGACGGGAGGCAGCAGUGGGGAAUAUUGCACAAUGGGCGCAAGCCUGAUGCAGCCAUGCCGCGUGUAUGAAGAAGGCCUUCGGGUUGUAAAGUACUUUCAGUGGGGAGGCGUUACCGGCAGAAGAAGCACCGGCUAACUCCGUGCCAGCAGCCGCGGUAAUUC